UUAAAGCGGUCGUACUUUUUGAAUAAGAAGUGGAACACUUAAAUCCACUUCAGAAUUAUUCAGAGGAGUGCGCAUUUUUUUAUGCCUUUUUAUUUACAUAGUAAGUUGGUUAAAAGAGUUAAAACGCUUACAUGGCGUUUGUAAGGAGGAAACACCCAUGCAAAAUGGUAAAGUAAAAUGGUUCAACGCUGAGAAAGGUUUCGGCUUCAUCGAAGUUGAAGGCGGAAACGACGUAUUCGUUCACUUUUCUGCGAUUCAAUCAGAAGGCUUCAAGUCUCUUGAAGAAGGACAAGAAGUAUCUUUCGAAAUCGUUGAUGGCGAGCGUGGACCGCAAGCUGCUAACGUAACAAAACUUUAAUAGUAAAGUUUAAAUGCCAGACUGCCUCCGGGCGGUGCUGGCAUU
rnacentral:sRNA from 1 species